rnacentral:lncRNA from 1 species
GAGGAGUUGAAAGUGUAUUUUAAGGGUAGGAAGUGUAGUUGGGUUAGGAAUUUUAUUUUGUUGUAUGAUAGCCCACCAAUUCUCCUCCUUGCUCCCUUCCACAAACCUACCCCCAAAAUAAACCCAAAAAGCCCUGAUCUAUAAUGUUUGCCCAUUCCCAUUCCUCUGGUGUGAAUAUUCCCACCAUGGCCGAUUAUAAGGUACUACUGAUUUAAGAAUUCUUCUGUAAAAAUCUUGAACAUUUAUCAGUUGACAAGAUACAGAUCUGGCUGGCAUAACCACUACAGCAACAAUUCUGUAAUUCUCAAAUAAAUAAUAGAACCAAUAAAUCAUGUAGGUACUACAAGGAGGAAGAUAAGAGCUGGGAUGUAGUUCAGUGGUAAAGCAGUUGCCUAGAAUGUAUGAGGCCCUGUAUUCAAUCCCCAGUACCACCACUAAAAAGAAAAAGAAAAAAAAAAAAGAGGAAGAAGAAAAAAAGAUCUUGACAAUUAGCCUAGACAGGAAAUGCUGAAUGAGACCUUAGGAGGAAUUUAGACCUCAAAGCCUUGGCCUAACUGAGAUAUUUGGGACAUUAAUUUUAAGUCAACAGGCAGUGUUUGAACAAAGAUGGACAUAGGAUAUUUUGGCAAAUGCAGUUUUCCUAGGAAGAUUAAUCUGCUAAUAAAUUGAAUAAUGAGUAGCACUGAGACUCCAAAGUAGACUAAUUUGCAAAUAAGACCUGGCUUGUAUAAGUGAGAGUAUUUCAACUCGGCAGCAGUUUUGGAAUUUUAUAGCUCCUGGGUUGAGAAAUGGAAUCCCAGAAUGUUGGGUACAGGUACCAGGAAACCAAAGAAAUAAUAAGGACUAAAUAUAGGGAAAUUAAGUUCAGAUGAAGGAGUUGACACAUAAAGCCACUGUGUACUGUAAAGUAUUUUUAUUGGUAUUUAGUCUUACCAUUAUUGUUGCUAAUGAUUAUAUUGAAU